GAUGAACGCUGGCGGCGUGCCUAAUACAUGCAAGUCGAGCGAACAGACGAGGAGCUUUCUCCUCUGACGUUAGCGGCGGACGGGUGAGUAACACGUGGAUAACCUACCUAUAAGACUGGGAUAACUUCGGGAAACCGGAGCUACUACCGGAUAAUAUAUUGAACCGCAUGGUUCAAUAGUGAAAGACGGUUUUGCUGUCACUUAUAGAUGGAUACGCGCCGCAUUAGCUAGUUGGUAAGGUAACGGCUUACCAAGGCAACGAUGCGUAGACGACCUGAACGGGAGAUCGGACACACGGGAAGUGAGACAGGGUCGAGACUCCGACGGUAGGAAGCAGUAGGGAAUCUUACGCAAUGGGCGAGAGCGUGACGGAGCAACGCCGCGUGAGUGAUGAAGGAGUUCGGAUCGGAAAACUCUGUUAUUAGUGAAGAACUAAUGUGUAAGUAACUAUGCAGAUAUUGACGGUACCUAAUCAGAAAGCCACGGCUAACUCCGUG
rnacentral:rRNA from 1 species